rnacentral:rRNA from 1 species
AACGAACGCUGGCGGCAGGCCUAACACAUGCAAGUCGAACGCCCCGCAAGGGGAGUGGCAGACGGGUGAGUAACACGUGGGAGCGUACCCUUCGGUUCGGGAUAACUCAGGGAAACUUGAGCUAAUACCGGAUACGUCCGAGAGGAGAAAGAUUUAUCGCCGAGGGAUCGGCCCGCGUCUGAUUAGCUUGUUGGUGAGGUAACGGCUCACCAAGGCGACGAUCAGUAGCUGGUCUGAGAGGAUGAUC